rnacentral:lncRNA from 1 species
GCUACACAAAAUACCAGCCGAAUAGGCAUAGAAUACAAUCGGCUUUUGAUCAUAUUGCAAUUCAUUGGACCUUAAAGAUUAGCUAAAUGUGCAUGGAGUUGAAUGGUUGAAAAGGUGUGAACUUGAAUGAUGCUGAAUUGAAAAACUGAAUGUGCAUGUAACUCAUUAUUGCUGUUAGUGUCGCAUGAAGAGUCUUCUAAUGUGAACAGCAAAAAUUGAAUGGUCCCUUGAGUGUGAGCUUGGCAGCCAAAUGAUCGGUCAAGUGUGGACACACUUGAUGCCAUAGCUUUUCACGAAUAGAUGCUUGGAAGAAUGUAUCCAGCACCUUCCAUAUGCAUGUACGUCCUAAUGCAUAAAACUUCAUAAAUACGAUCCAUUGAAUCUUCAAUUAUACAUGCAUGAGCAACAGCCAAUGUCAACAACCUGGUACACAUUAAAAACACGGUUAAAUGUAACAAUAAAACAAAGUUUAAACACACUUUAAGUUGUAUGAAUUUAGACAAACAUUUAUGAUGUCAGAAUUAAGAUUGAAUUAAAACAUAUAUUAAUGCUGUUCAAACUAAGACAUAAUAAAAGACACAUAUUAAUGAUGUUCAAACUAAGACUUAAUUAAAGACAAAUAUUAAUGAUGUUCAAACUAAAUAUCUAAAAUAAAUAAAAUAGAUUAAAAUCCUUAUUCCAGCAACCGAAUUAAACAAGCUGAAAUUAAAGCUUUGCUUGAAACACAUUGCAUGAGACGCAUAAAGUGCAUGCCCAAGCUUGAUCAAUUAGUCUCGUAACAGCUUCUGGCCAAACUCGAUCAAUGACACCCGUGAUAGCUUCCUUGAACUUCUUAGUUCAUGUACAAGUAAUUGGCCUUAUUGGUAGCUCAAUUAGAUCACAAGCUGUUUUGGUUGAGUCCUUGUCCAUGAUCGCAUCAACUCCUCCCCCUUCGAAGCGAUUUGUCCCCAAAUCGUCCCCUAUAUCAUAAGGAGAAAGAUCAGAAAUAUUAAAGCUUGCACUAACAUUAUACUCACCUAGGAAGUCUAGUUUGUAUGAAUUAUCAUUAAUUCUCUCCAACACUUGAAAAGGGCCAUCGCCUUGAGGUAGCAACUUAGACCUUUUUUGAGCGGGGAAUCUCUCCUUUCGCAUGUGAAUCCAAACCAAAUCUCCGGGUUCAAAGACUACUCAUUUGCAUCCCUUGUUGGCUUUGUGUGCAUACUGCUUAGUUCUAUUCUCUAUAUUUUCCCUUAUUUUUUGAUGUAAAUGUUUCACAAACUCAUCCUUCUAUUUGUCAUCUACAUGUACAAGUUGAUUAGUAGGUAAGGGAAUUAAAUCUAAACGAGUUAAAGGAUUAAACCCAUAGAAAACUUCAAAUGGAGAAUGCUUAGUGGCCGAAUAGACUGAUCUAUUGUAGGCAAAUUCAAUAUGCGGCAAGCAUUCUUCCCAUGUUUCCUAAUGAUUACUCUCAAUAAGGUAGAUAAGACUCGAUUAACCACUUCGGUUUGGCCAUCCGUUUGUGGGUGGCCCGUUGUAGAAAAUAGCAACUUGGUGCCAAGCUUGCCCCACAAAGUCCUCCAAAAAUGGCUAAGGAAUUUGGCAUCUUGAUCCGAAACAAUGGUCCUUGGGACUCCAUGUAAUCGUACUACUUCCCUGAAAAGCAGAUUUGCUACAUUCAAAGCAUCAUCAAUUUUAUGGCAAGCAAUAAAGUGAGCUGUUUUAGAAAAACGGUCAAUAACUACAAAAAUUGAAUCCUUUCCACUCUUAGUUCUAGAAAGUCCUAGAACAAAGUCCAUAGAAAUAUCAACCCAAGGUUCUUCAGGAAUGGGUAGAGGAGUGUACAAUUCAUGGGGUUUUAUCGUGACUUUACCCUCUUACAAGCAAUGUAUCGGUCACACACCCUCUCCACAUCGCGUCUCAUUUUGGGACAAAAGAAGUGUUUGUGGAGCAUGGCCAAAGUCUUGGUCAUUCCAAAGUGCCCCAUAAGACCUCCAUUAUGCGCCUUAUUCACAAGUACUUCCCGAAUGGAUCCUUGAGGGAUACACAACUUACCUUCUCUAAAGAGGUAUACGUCUUGCUUAUAGAACUUCUUGAAAGCCCCUUUUUCACAAGCCUUAUAAACUUUACCAAAAUCAACAUCAGUUUCAUAAAGCUCUUUUAGAUACGUAAAAAAAGUAAUUUAGAAUCUAAGUUAUUAAGAAGUGUGACCUUCUUGACAAAGCAUCGACUACAACAUUCUCUUUACCUUUCUUAAACUUAAUCAUGUAGGGAAAUGAUUCAAGAAACUCCACCCACUUGGCAUGUCUCUUGUUCAGUUUAUUUUGCCCCUUGAGAUGUUUCAAUGCCUCAUGAUCAGUGUGACAAACUCCUUGGGCCAAAGGUAGUGUUUCCAAGUUUCUAACUCUCAGAUCAACGCGUACAUCUCUUUAUCAUACGUUGGUUAGUUAAGGGUGGCACCAUUCAAUUUCUCACUGAAGUAGGUUAUGGGACGCCCAUUUUGUGUGAGAACGACUCCAAUCCCUAUUCCUGAAGCAUCACACUCAAUCUCGAAAGUUUUUGUAAAAUUAGGCAAAGAUAAUAAAGGUGCAUUUGUCAAAUAGUCUUUAAUCAUUGUAAAAGAUUUCUCUUAUUCCUCACCCCAUUGAAAUUUAGAACUUUUCUUGAUAAUUCUCGUUAAUGGAGCAGCUAAAGUACUAAAGUUAGGAACAAACCUUCGAUAUAAACUCACAAGACCAUAAAACUUCUUACUUAGCUAAUGCUAGUGGGUCGUGGCCAUUCCCGAAUUGUUUUUACCUUUUCUUGGUUGACUUCGAGACCUUCCGAACUAACCAUGAAACCUAGAAAAACAAGUUUGUUAGUACAAAAUGAACACUCUUUAAUAUUAGCAAACAAAGUUCCCUUUCGUAAUACUUCCAACAUAGAUCUUAAAUGAUGAAUAUGAUCUUCCAAAAACUUACUAUAAAUCAAUAUAUCAUCAAAAUAAACCACACAAAAUUUACCAAUGAAGAAUCGAAGGACAUGAUUCAUCAAUCGCAUAAAUGUACUUGGUACGUUAGUUAGGCCGAAAGGCAUAACCAACCACUCAUACAAACCGUUCUUGAUUUUAAAUCCAGUUUUCCAUUCAUCUCAUUCUCUCAUUCGAAUCUAAUGAUAGCCACUCUUUAAGUCUAUCUUGGAAAAAAGUUGAGCUCCACUUAGCUCGUCUAACAUAUCAUCUAAGCACGAGAUUGUAUGUCAAUGCUUGAUAUUGAUCUUGUUGAUUGCUCGACAAUCGACACACAUGCCUCAAGAGGCAUCCUUUUUAGGUACCAAAAGCACGGGCACGGCACAUAGGCUUAGGCUCUCUCGAACGUACCCUUUUUCCAUUAACUCGAUCACUUGCCUUUGUAACUCCUUGGUUUCCUCGGGGUUACUUUGAUAGGCUAGGCAAUUCGAGAUAGUAGCUCCAGGUAUAAAAUUAAUUUGGUGUUCGAUACCCCUAAUGGGUGGUAAACCACUUAGGAUGUCCUCCGGAAACACGCCCUCGAAUUCCUAUAACAAAGAUACAAUAGAAGAAGGGAGCUCACGAGCAAUAAGGAGGUUGCAAUAGGAGUUGAAGCUUCAUAAUCCCCAUGUUGUCUUCUUUAUGGAGUUAAAAUUGGAUUCAAAAAUAAUAGAAAAUAUGCAUAGGAGGGGUGGCUUUCUAAAUGGUAUUGAUGAUGUAGUAAAAGGUACAAGGGGGUUUGAGUUUGGGACGGAAGUCUGAUAUUGAUUUUUCUCUGAAAUGUUAUUCUAGCAAUUAUGUGGAUGUAGUUUUGAAGGGAUUUGAUGUACAUUGAAGAUUGGUUGGCUUUUAUGGUUCGCCAGAUCUGAGAAAUCGUGAUGAUUCACUAUCUGGAGCAUGAUCAAAGCUUGUCGUGGUUGGUUUAUGGAUAUUUCAAUGAGAUCUUUUUAUUUUUUUAAGAAGAAAAAGGGGGCUAGAAGAGAUGACAAAAGGAUGGAAAAUUUUCAAAAGGUACUUUAGGAUUUUCAUUUGGAGGAUCUAGGCUUUGAAGGGUCAUGGUUUACUUGGGAGAGGGAAAAUUUUACGUAUAAUAAUAUUAAGGAAAGGUUUGAUAGAGUAAUAGCAAACUCCUUAUGGUGGGAGUAAUUUCUAAAUUUUUUUGUGCGACAUUUCCUCAUUCCUUUUCUGAUCAUUAUCCACUGUUGAUACAAACGAAUAAGGAUAAGAGGCGAUCUUGAUUUUUUGGAUUCUAUUUUGAGGCUUCUUGGACGCUUGAAAAGUCCUGCAAGGCUGAGGUUCUCAAACUUUGGGAAUUUAGUAGUGGGACGGUGCCUGAACGCCUCGAGAGGGUGAGCUUUGGUUUGAAGAGGUGGGCGACAAGGAUUAGCAGUGAGAAGGGAGAAAGGAAGAUGUAUUUGACAAAGAGAUUAGAGGAGCUUAUUAUAGGGGAUCGAGAUGAUGACAACAUUUUGGAUUUGUUAAAAAGUAAAAUUGAUCUGAAUUAGAGUUAGAAAAGCAGAAGAUGUAUUGAGAGCAAAGAGUGCGUGUUAUCUAGCUUUAAAAAGGAACCAAAAUACGAGUUUUUUCCACCGUUGUGCGACUAAAAACGUAUGAAUAAAGUGAAAAGAUUGGAUAAGGGUGAUGGGCAGUUUACGAGUGAUGAAAGGAAGGUAAAAUACAUUACGAGGAAUUAUUUUAUAGAACUAUUUACGUCACUGGAUUUGAAUAAUGUUGACCUUAUAUUGGAAGGGGUGAAUAUGUGUAUAACGGAGGAGAUGAAUCAAUGUCUCAUGGCCCAUUAUGAAAGGGAUGAGAUUUUAAUUUUUGGAGGAUUUCAAGAGGAAAAGAUAUGGGAAAAAGGGUCAGUUCGCGCUCAAGUUAGAUAUGAGCAAAGCGUAUAUGGAGGUUCUUGAAAUUGAUGCUUUUGGCGUUGGGUUUUGCAAAAGUUUGGGUGGAUUUUAUUUAUAAUUGUGUAAGUAAUAUUUCUUAUCCUUUAAAUAUAAAUGGAGAGGUGGGUGAUAAGUUUUUCCCAGAAAGGGGGCUUCGUCAAAGAGAUCCGCUAAGCCCAUAUUUGUUCCUGAUUUGCAGUGAAGGCCUUUCUUCCUUGAUGUGUAUGACUAGUCGGGAUAGUUUGGUAAAGGGUGCCAGAAUUUGUAGUGUGGCCCUAAUGGUUUCUCAUCUUUUAUUAGCUGAUGAUUGUAUACUCUUCAAGGGGCUACAGUAAGGGAGGUUAUGAACUUGAAGGGGAUCCUCAAGAAGCAUGAGGAGGCUUCGGGCUAAUGUAUGACUUAUGACAAAGUUACCAUCUAUUUUAGCUCAAAUGUUGGAGAAGAAAUGCAAUAGGGAAUUUCAAGAAGUUUCUACUAAUCUUGAGAGAUAUUUGGGCUUACCGAAUAUGGUUGGACGAAGUAAAAAGAGAGCAUUGCAAGGGUUAAAGGAUUAGAUGAGAAGUCGCAAAUAUAGUUGGUGUGUGAGACCAUUGUCCUAAGGGGAAAGAAGUGUUUAUAAAAAGCGUUCUCCAAGCUAUCCCCACUUUUGAGAUGUCAUAUUUAUUACUUCUAACCUCAUUAUGUAAGGAGUUAGAGUAGGUUAUCUCUUUGUUUUGGUUGCAAAAAUUUGGGGGAAAACGAGGAAUUCAUUGGUGUGAAUGGUCAAAAAUGUGCACUUUUAAGGAUUAUGGAGGUAUGGGCUUUUGCAAUCUUAGUCAUUCUAAUAUUGCCUUACUUGCCAAGUAAGGAUGACAUUUAAUUAAUGAUUAGAGUUUGUUAUUAGCUAGACCGUUGAAGGCAAAGUAUUUUUCAAAUACAGAUUUCUUAAUAGCUAGUUUAGGAGCUUACCCUUCGUAUACCUGGAAAAGCAUCUGGUCUGCAAAGGGUUUGCUUCUAAAAUGAUUGGGUUGGCAGGUUGGUACGGGGGCUAGUAGGAUGAUAUUUGGGUCUUUGGUUUGCAAACAAAAAAAAAUCAGGUUCCUAAAUCUAAUAGGCCUUACAGGACAGUCUUUGAAUUGAUAUUACAACAAGAUAGAAAAUGGAACGUAGAGCUAAUUACCAGUUGUUUCGACUUGGAGGUAGCAAGGAGAAUUCUAUGUAUUCUAGCCCCAUAGGUGCAGGAAGAUACGAUUUGGCACAUGGAAUCCUCGGGUGAGUAUACGGUUCGAAAUGGGUACAAGGUUUUACAAGAUAGUGUCGAAUCAGAUGCCAAUGAGGAGGCGAGUUGUUACAACAAUUUUUAUAAAAAGAUGUGGAUUUUCAAAUUGCCAGAAAAAGUUAAAAUUAAAGUCUGGCGAAUCUUCAGUAAUCUAAUUCCUAAUAUGCAUAAUCUAUACAAUAGAAGAUUGGUUGGUGGAGAGACAUGUCCAAAAUGCAUGAAAGGUGUUGAAAGCCUGGAGCAUGGAUUCGGCGAUUGUUCUUUUGCUGUUGAGCUUUGGAACCUAUUGGAGAUUAGAUGGGAAGGUGAGAGGGGUAACUUAUGCUUUCAGGAUUGGCUACAAGAACUGUUUAACGACUCAACGAAGAAUACCUGUAGACAGGUUGUGUGUGCAAUCUAGUUUCUCUGGUCAGCAAAAAACAAGUGGGUCCAUGAUAAAGUGUUCAUCUCAGCAAAACAAAUGGUGAGUCAGAUCUCAUCAUAUUUACGGGAGCUAAAUGAAUUGGAGGAAAGAUUACAUGUUUCGAAAGUGGGAUGUGAUAGGUGGAGGCCGCUAGAGGCUCUUUUCUUGAAAAUAAAUUUUGAUAUGGCUUUUAAGGUUCACAUCACAAAAUCAUUCUCGAGGUUAGUUAUUAGAGACGACAAAUCUGGAAUAAUAUGUACAAGGGUCAUUUUCAAUGAGUAUGUACCGUUUGUUUUCGCGGCUGAAGCCCUUGCAUGCCUUUAGGCUCUCAAGUUGGGGGUAGAGAUGGGUAUAGGAGAGGUGGUAGUUGAAGGUGACUCUUUAACUGUGAUAAAGAAAGCUAAAUCAGGUUCUAUGGAUAGAUUGGAAAUUAGGGCCUAUAUUCAAGACAUAAAAUAUGAAAAGAGAAAGUUUAGUAAGGUAUGGUUUACCUUCAUUCCCCGACCAGCUAAUGCAUCUGCUCAUGCUCUCGCUCAGGAAGGAUGGGUAAGGGGUGAAAGUUUGAAUCUUAGACGGAGAGACUUGGUGGCGAUGGUAAAUCUGGAGGCUCAAGAUAAUCUUGUGAGAGAUGUUAAAGAAGAGGACGAAGUUGCUGGGUCAUAGUUCUAGAAUGGCUUCACUAAGUUUGUGCGCAGGAAAUGGAAAGGUGCAGUGGAAAUGAAUGGAUUCAGUUUUGGAAGCGUGGGAUGAAAGGAAAAUUGUUGUUUCCCAUUGGAUAAUGAUGGUGCG